rnacentral:lncRNA from 1 species
AACCUGAUUUUUUCUUUUUUAAGAGAUAUACCUUUUUUUUUUCCCCGAAACUAGUUUGAGCUGGUUUGAAAAUGAAGUGUUACGCAUUAUUUUAAUCUGAGUGAAAAUCUUUCAUUGUUUUCACAGAUACUUCAGCUUGAGCCAGCCAGCCUGAGCCCUUUGCCAACCUGAAUAUAAGCUUCCCCUGCACCCCACCCCAGAGGAACUUAGAUGCCUGGAUUUAGCCCACAGACUCUCGCUGGACUAUUUAGAAAAUAGUGAUCUAAUAAUGAAACUUUAAGUCCAAAAAGAGGACUAAAUGCCUCAAAUGGCAUUCAGGGGCUGUACUGUGAAUCUCGUGGGGCAGUUCUCUGAGGGGAUGGCCUGAAGCCCUCAUCUCCUUUGGGGAGGAAGCGUGUCACAUCCUAUAGACACUGACACGCUCUCUUCCUUGACAGUAACUCCUCAGGGGACAUCGGACUGACUGCCACGAGUGCUCUUCCUAAACAGCUUCUGGAGCCUUUGUCUUCUAGGGAAAAAUGUCAAAGUGCUAACAGCUUCUAGGUUCUGUGAAGGCGAGACUCUGCUAUUUGAGUCCCACAGCCACAAAAUGCUGCUCUCAAAUUCCCUUGUCCCCUGAUUUUACAUGAUGGUGGUAAGACAAUAUGAACACUGUGAACUCAUUGAUGAGUGUCACCAUCUCAGUUCUCCCCAGGUGCCACUUAGAAACAAAUUUAAAAAUGAGGCAGAACUACUGCAUCAAUAGUUUCAGUACCAGUAAUAAAAGAGCAAAAAUAAUAAAGCCAGUGGAUUAGAAAACUGCUAAAACUAGUCUAGAGCAGACAGCAUUUACCCAAGGAACAGGUUCCAUGAAUACAAGGAAAUAAAUGGAGCUGGACAGAACCCAGUAUUCAUUUUGAAACCCAUUUUGAACCCAGCUGGGACAGAACCCAGUAUUCAUUUUGAAACAGCAGUGCCAUAAAACAAGACUACAGAAGAGAGCAAUCCUUCUGUCAACUGCUAAGCACCAAGGUGAGCAGACAUCAGCUUCAUUUAGCUCACCAAAGCCUCAGCAAUGGGUGUUAUUUAGACAUUUCACAGAAAACCUGGCAAGCAGGACAUCUCUAGCUGAAAAAAGAUUGAAGAGAACCAAAAGCCUAGCUCAGAAGAGAGUUCCUGAGAAGGAUAUAACCUCUCUGCCUGGUUGCCCUCCUACAUUCUUGAAGGAAAGAAUGCAAAAGUCGGGGAACAACAUUUUCUAAAGAAAAAACAUAUGGUUGUUUUUCAUCC